UAGUUUGGUAUAUUUAUUGUAUUAUAAUGUAGUCUUUAUAUUGUUUAUUACAUGUACUCCUGUGUAAUGCCUGUCAGUCAGUCAGCAGGGCAAGAAUACAAUAAUUCGACCAAACUGCUGAACUGUCUUCCCGGUGGUGGCGCAGUCAGGAGAGCAACCUGCUGGGUGUGGAGAGAGUUCGGCCCAAAAGGUGCACCGGCCUUUAAAUGAAGACUUCUAUGUUUCUGUCCAGCGGUGUUUCCAGUAUAUGUUGCCAUAGUGGGUGCGCUCUGAUGACGCUGAUAGGAGUCCAAGGCAGCCCACCAUGAAAACUAACCAACAGAGGAAAGGAGAAGCCCAGGCGGAGAAGCAGCGGAAAAAAACAACGCAAGUGUCCUGACCGCAGGAGCCAGGGGUAAUAGAGGAAAUCAUUUAAGUGCAGAACAAUAGCUUCAAAUAAGCCACACAAAAGUGUAACAUCCCUCCUCUGUUGCUCUUCUUGAGGUUGCCCUAGUCUGUGAAGAAGCUCAAGUCUGCCUUUGAAUGUGCUAUUUGUUUUUAUGUGAACACAUUUUUGUAAACAGUGUAGUCAGUAAAAUGUAUUAAUAAAUAUAUCUAUGCAUUGCUCCUA